UACGUAGGGGGCAAGCGUUGUUCGGAAUUACUGGGCGUAAAGGGCGCGUAGGCGGCACGGCAAGUCAGGAGUGAAAGGCCUGGGCUCAACCUGGGAAUUGCUUUUGAAACUGCCGAGCUAGAGUGCGGAAGGGGCAACUGGAAUUCCCAGUGUAGCGGUGAAAUGCGUAGAUAUCGGGAGGAACACCUGUGGCGAAAGCGGCGCACUGGACCAUAACUGACGCUGAGGCGCGAAAGCUAGGGGAGCAAACAGG
rnacentral:rRNA from 1 species